rnacentral:rRNA from 1 species
GACGAACGCUGGCGGCGUGCCUAAUACAUGCAAGUAGGACGCAGUUGCGAACGGGUGAGUAACGCGUCGGUAACUGCCUAUUAGAGGGGGAUAACUAUUGGAAACGAUAGCUAAUACCGCAUACUAGUAGAUGGACCUGCGUUGUAGUAGCUAGUAGGUUGGUUAAUUGCCUACCUAGGCGACUAUACAUAGCCGACCUGAGAGGGUGAUCGGCCACACCUGGACUGAGACACGGCCCAGCCUCCUACGGGAGGACGCAGUAGGGAAUCUUCGGCAAUGGUGGGAACCCUGACCGAGCAACGCCGCGGGAGUGAAGAAGGUUUUCGGAUCGUAAAGCUCUGUUGUUAAGGAAGCGGUACUUAACCAGAAAGGGACGGCUAACUACGUGCCAGCAGCCGCGGUAAUAC